CCUACGGGAGGCAGCAGUGGGGAAUAUUGCACAAUGGGGGGAACCCUGAUGCAGCGACGCCGCGUGGGUGAAGGAGUAUUUCGGUAUGUAAAGCCCUAUCAGCAGGGAAGAACAAUGACGGUACCUGACUCAGACGCACCGGCUAAAUACGUGCCAGCAGCCGCGGUAAUACGUAUGGUGCAAGCGUUAUCCGGAUUUACUGGGUGUACAGGGAGCGCAGGCGGCGCGUUAAGCCUGGUGUGAAAGCCCGCGGCCCAACCGCGGGACUGCAUUGGGAACUGGCGCGCUGGAGUGCCGGAGGGGUAGGCGGAAUGCCUAGUGUAGCGGUGAAAUGCGUAGAUAUUAGGAGGAACACCAGUGGCGAAGGCGGCCUGCUGGACUGCGACUGACGUUGAGGCCCGAAAGCGUGGGGAGCAAACAGGAUUAGAUACCCGGGUAGUC
rnacentral:rRNA from 1 species